CCUACGGGAGGCUGCAGUGAGGAAUAUUGGUCAAUGGACGAGAGUCUGAACCAGCCAAGUAGCGUGAAGGAUGACUGCCCUAUGGGUUGUAAACUUCUUUUAUAUGGGAAUAAAACGUUCCACGUGUGGGAUUUUGUAUGUACCAUGUGAAUAAGGAUCGGCUAACUCCGUGCCAGCAGCCGCGGUAAUACGGAGGAUCCGAGCGUUAUCCGGAUUUAUUGGGUUUUAAGGGAGCGUAGGUGGAUUGUUAAGUCAGUUGUGAAAGUUUGCGGCUCAACCGUAAAAUUGCAGUUGAAACUGGCAGUCUUGAGUACAGUAGAGGUGGGCGGAAUUCGUGGUGUAGCGGUGAAAUGCUUAGAUAUCACGAAGAACUCCGAUUGCGAAGGCAGUUCACUGGACUGCAACUGACACUGAGGCUCGAAAGUGUGGGUAUCAAACAGGAUUAGAUACCCCGGUAGUC
rnacentral:rRNA from 1 species